UACGUAGGGGGCGAGCGUUGUCCGGAAUCAUUGGGCGUAAAGAGCGUGUAGGCGGCUUUGCAAGUCGGAUGUGAAAUCCCACGGCUCAACCGUGGAAGUGCAUCCGAAACUGCAUCGCUGGAGUCUCGGAGAGGAAGGUGGAAUGCUUGGUGUAGAGGUGAAAUUCGUAGAUAUCAAGCAGAACACCUGCGGCGAAGGCGGCCUUCUGGACGGAUGACUGACGCUGAGACGCGAAAGCGUGGGGAGCAAACAGG
rnacentral:rRNA from 1 species